UAUGAAGAACGCAGCGAAAUGCGAUACGUAAUGUGAAUUGCAAAUUCAGUGAAUCAUCGAGUCUUUGAACGCACAUUGCGCCCCCUGGUAUUCCGGGGGGCAUGCCUGUCCGAGCGUCAUUGCUGCCCUCAAGCACGGCUUGUGUGUUGGGCCCCGUCCUCCGAUCCCGGGGGACGGGCCCGAAAGGCAGCGGCGGCACCGCGUCCGGUCCUCGAGCGUAUGGGGCUUUGUCACCCGCUCUGUAGGCCCGGCCGGCGCUUGCCGAUCAACCCAAAUUUUUAUCCAGGUUGACCUCGGAUCAGGUAGGGAUACCCGCUGAACUUAAGCAUAUCAAUAAGCGGAGGA
rnacentral:misc_RNA from 1 species